AGAUCAACCUAUCAACUACACACUUGUCUUGAAACGUAUGAAGCAACCAAAGCUGAUUUCCAACACUAAACUUGACAUAACCGCUUGUCUUGGGGCUUGGUAUACAUGGGAUCGGAUUCUUCAGACAAGUCUGGAAGGUAACGUCUGGUGUAAAUUAUUUAUCACAUUCCCUCUCUCUAAAUUUCGACCCUAGAAUAGUUAGUGUCUA
rnacentral:lncRNA from 1 species